UUUAAACUAAAGAUUUGCAACUCGAUAUCAUCUAGACUUGGUUUUAAAAGAAAAAUAAGUCAAACUUGAUAUAAGGCAAGUUUAGCUUUGUGGUAUACAGACAAACAUGAGAUCAGGUUAAAUAGAUAGAGUAAAAAUGGACUUUUCGAUAUCAUCUAGAUUUUAAUUUAGUACUACACAAAAUCUUCAAAAUUUUGAUAAUGCAAGUGCUUGUUUUGCUAUAUUAACAUGGAUUUGGAAUUGGUUUCAAUAGAUCCACACCAGAAAUGGAUAAUUUCAUAUUAUGUCAAAUGCAUACGGAGUUUUUACCUUCAUAGUAUUAGUUUGGCAUGUCAAUUGAGCCACAAUAUGGAUUUCUUGCGCUUUUAACUGGUUAUUACUUGCAAUUAGCUGAUUAUAAAGCCCCAGCCCUGGUACAAAUUGUUUUUAAUCUAUUCUAUUUCAAUGCGAGGUGUAUGGACUAUUUCAACCUGUAUGACAGAGAUCAAAUGUGAAGCCUCUCUCUUUGCUGAUUCAUAUGGGGGAUAACAACUGCCUAGAGUGUUCCUCCUUCCAUCAAGAUUAGGGCUUUUUUAUUCGUUGUAUGUAUAUGGGGUUGUGCUGGCUGAGAAGGUUAUCCGUGGCGAUCUAAAUAUCUCAUUUCCUUGCAAUUGGAUGAUUGUGCUCAAUCAAUAUUAACAGGACAAUGUAAUGCUCUACAUGAGUGGCGUGGCUCUGUAGCAGCGCCAAGUGGGUUGGUUUUCUUGCCAGAUGCCGGGUGUUUCAUUUCUUAAUUUGUUGGUAUUCAUAGGUUUUAACUCUACCUAAUGUGUAUAGACUCAGUCGGUCCCAAGCUCAGAUAAAGCAAGGAGGGUUGGAAGAGGUAAAACACUUUCACUAAAAUUUGAAUACUUGCUUGUUUCUACUAGUGCAGUUGUUAGUAGCAUAUAAGUCUGGGUAUCGCCUAUGUCAACUACAGCAUAAGUCACACUAAAGGAGUAUAGGGCCCUGCAUUAUAAGUGGUUGGUUUAGCAUGUAAAUGUAAUCUUGGCUAUAAGUCUUCCCAAAAACAAUUUGUGAGCAAUCAAUCAAGACAUGGUUGUCAUUAUUGGCAAUGGUUGAAAUGGUAUGGUUCAAUGGGUAUAAUGGUGGUUUUUUUUCUUUCUUAUCAUUCGGUUUUUCUCAUAACAAGAUGCUUGUAUAUGUUGACUUUUGUAAAAGUAUCUGGUGGUUUUGGGCUUUGGCUCCUGGUUUUCUUUUAGCAGGAGUGGUUUCCGGUUUACCUUCAUAUUUGCAUGCCUCCGUAAGUUCAGAUGUCGGUUUGUAUGUAACACACUUCCUUUUACGAUUUUGUGGUUCCUUUUCUUAUACUUACAUUAUUGUGAUUUUGCUAUUCUGCAGUUGUGUGGGUCUAUUAUUGUAAGGGUAUGUUGGGGUUACAUUAUUGAAGGAGGGUGCAUCUACCCUGUUGUCAGUAGUAGCUUGUGUUCUGAUAUGCACCUCUUCAUUUGUUCCUUUCAUUUUGUGUUUUGAUAUCCUAUCUGGCCCAUCUUUUUGCUAGUUAGCCUGAUCUGUCCAUCUUCCAAACCUAAUGACUAUUAACAACAACUAUUCUUUUAAAUUU